rnacentral:lncRNA from 1 species
CGAGUGCCUUAGCCAGGCCAGAGGCUUGCAUUGUGUUGGUGCUGACCAAAGUUACAUAGAUGUUUAGGAAGUUUCUUUUCAGGCUGUGUUAUGGAAAAUGCCCCUUUAGGGUUGUCAAACAAAUAAUUCCCCUGGGUUUGAGGAGGGAUGUGGGAUAGAAAAAUGUAAAAAAGCCUGGACAGAGUAUUGCUACUGCUGCCUUUUUUGUUAUCCUUAAUAACAUUCAUGAUCCUCUGCAAUGCACAGUUUGAAAUUGCCACAACUUAAAGUGACUUCUUCCACAAAUACUAAGAGAUGUAGUUUAAGGGGUUUUAAUUAUAAGGAUAAUAGAGUGACUUAUAAAUUUAAAAAGUAAAUGUUUUUCCUUGGCAUUUAACAUUAUGAUUGAAAUACUUGUAAUUCUAUUUUUUUUUUUUUUUUGGUACUGGGGAUCGAUUGUAAUUCUAAUUUCAAAAAGAAAGUUAAAUGCUGCUUGUGGUCUAGGAUGUUACAAUACUACUACCAGCAUGUCAUUCAUUCUUGCAAAGAGUUGGGAAGAGGAGUAUACGUCUAGAGUUACCCAAGUUCUAAAUAGAUACCAAGAGUAUUGGUUCUGACCUGGAGCCUGUGCAUUUGGAGAAUAUACACAAGAUCUUUUUAAAGGAAAGAAGGGACCACCUUAUGGCCCCAUGAAUUUGAAAGUUUCUAUGUGUGUUUAGCUUUCAAAGGACUGGUUUAUUUGGUAAUCAACCAAAAGCAUUUGAAAUGUACCUUGCUUUCCAAAGGUCACUUUGACUAACUUAUAGAGAAUAAAAGAUAAUAUGAAGGUGUUUAUAUCAAAGACUAUGCUUCCCACUUAUAUUUUUAAUUAGAAGCCUAUUUGUAAUUCUUCAUCAUUCACUUGAGCUUGCUCUCAACUAGACACUGCCUAGAAUAGACAGACCACUCAGUUUUGCUUUGUUACUUCUGAGAUCUUGCCACAUUCAUAUCUCCUUGAUUGCCUUAGAUCUCUCAAAGUAACCCUGAUGCACUGUUUCUUUUUUUCUUUCUUUCUUUUUUUUUGGCCAGGGUCUCACUAUGUAGUUCAGGCUGGCCUUGAACUAGUCACUAUGUAACCCAGGCUGGCCUCUCAGUGAUCUUCCUGCCUCAGCCUCUGAGCGUUGGGAUUACAGGGGAUGUGCCGCCACGCCUGGCUGAGACUUUUGACUUUGGGUUCCCAAAUAAGCCAGAAGUAAGUAGAGAAAUCUGGUUGUGUUGACACCUGUGUUCAGAGUGGCCUUAUUUUGGCCUUAGAAUGGGCUUGGUCCAGCACUCUAUAGGAAAUUUGUGAAGUCAGAAUUUUCUUUGUCCCAUGAGGUAUCUAUGUAAGGUAGCAUGCCCUUUCUUGAACACCCUGUGGGUGAAUAACCUUACUAAGUUAGCUGCCAGUACUACAACCUUCCAGGAAGAAUUUUAACUAGUAUGCUGCAUUUGAAGCACUUUGACAUGUACAUUUAAGGUUACAGUCUUUUUUGUUGUUGUUGUUGGUACUGGGGAUCGAACUCGGGUCCUUGUGGUUGCACAGCAUUCAGCGAAACCACUGAGCUAAAUCCCCGGCCCUAAGGUGACAGUCUUAACAGUAAAAUGGUGUUAAAUUAAUCACUGUGAAACUUGAAAGUGUCAUGCUCUGGACAUUUUAGGAAGCUUGCAUAAACUUCUGAAUUUUCUUUUUUUUUUUUUUUUUUUUAAUUUUCUUUAUUAAUUAUGUGAUCGAUGAUUUGUGUGUUUUAGUUUUCAUCUUUGACAGUGGUACGAGUGAUUGGCAUAAUGGUAGGCAAUUUAGAGUACAGUGUAGAGUAAAUCAUGGUUGUCUCUCUUCCAGAGAAAGUGGUGAUAUGUGUGCUUCUUCCUUGCGUGGAGCCAAGAGAAUUGGAUUUAUGCGCUGAUUCAUCUCUACUGUUUAUAUGGUGCAAAAUAAAUGUAACCUUAUUUUUUAAGCUGCAUGCUAGUAAUAUGCUUUUCUCUUUAAUAAAAAAGCGAGAGAUAGUAAUCUAGCUGGUUUUUGUUCUUCAGCAAGGAUCUGCACUUUUUACAGACAGAUGUUAAAUGAGUUCAUGUUUAGGUAGCAGAAGAAGUUUUACCAUCGGAAUCCCUCUCACAGGUAGCCUACGCAAGGGGUUGUAUUGCAUCUGGUCUGGAAGACCCGGUUCCCAGGACUGGCAAGUGUCACAUGAACUGUCUUUAACAAAGGCUCGUCUCUCUAGGAAAACCAUUUGGACACAACAGAACAGUUGUUCUGCUCUUCCACAGGGCAGUCACCCUGUCUUCCUCUUCAGAGAAUCGUCCUUAGAAAGCUGGGCUCAAAUGAGAGCAGUGCUGUUUUUAAAGCAUGCAGGUUGGAUGAUGGCCUAGAGAACCUAGAAGCUACACUGAAACUGGAGACACUACCCGCUUUGGCAGCACACGCUAACAUUGAAAUCACCGACAACAUGGAAGGCACAGGGAGUGGCUGAGGUGCUGUGAUGCCUUCUGGCUCUUUGGUUGGAGUCUUCUCUCGAGCAGUUUCUGAGGAUGACAGUUAAAAUUAGAACUGAUUUUGGGUUUUCAUCAAACUACCCACAAUUCACCAUGAAUUCUAGAUUGUGAUAUUUUUAAUGAACACUUUUUAAUAUCCAGCAAGUAAGCCCUUGACAUAAUGUGCUUGGAUAAUACUUGAUUUUACUAACCAGGUUAUAAAAGUCUGAUUUAAUUUUGCAUGAUCUGUGAAUGCUGCAUUAUAAAUCUGUUAUUCAGUAUCACACUUUGAGCUUAAUAACUACUACUUGAGACUGCUUAUAAUAUAAACAUUUUUUAAAGAUUAUUUUACUUAAACCGCUUAAUCUCAUGAGAGCAAUGAUUUAGGAGACAAAGACCCAGCUAUGUGUAAUGAUUUGCUCAUUUCAAAAUAGCCCAAGAGGGCCAGGUAUUUAGCUCAGUGGUUUAGCCGCGUGCUGCGCAAGCACAAGGACCCGAGUUUGAUCCCUGGUACCAAAAAAGAAAAAAAAUAGCCCAAGAAAGCAGAAUUUAUUGUUGAGACUCAAGUUGCAAAAAACAUGGCAUUUCCUCUGGGAAGGGGAAGGUAACGGUUAAUUACCCAGCCGCCUGCCUUCUUUACUUUCCUUCCCAUCUAACACAGUAGAUUAAACUGUGGCUACUUGCAGAAAAGAAAAUUAAUAUUUUUCUUCUAAGUAAAAGUGACUGAGACUUUAUUGCCCUGUGACUAAGACUAUGUAGCAGGAAUCUGGCUAAGUCAGUUAUUGAGGGUUUGCGUGGCCCUGGUAGAGUUGGCCCUCAGGGUUAUUCUGAAAUGAGAGACCAAUUCCAUUCCUUCUCAGGUACAUAGAGACAGCUCCGCUAGAGCAGGUGGAAUGUGCUUGGUGCAAAUAGAGUAUAUAAUUAGCAAGAUGAAGAGGAGCAUAAGAUCUUCUUUUCCCUUUCAGGCAUAAUUGGACAUAUCAGUAACUGGUCUAAGAUUUGCUGUGGCUGUAGUAAAUAAUGUAUUUAUUUUAGCUGGUUAUGUGUGCUCUCUGUAUAUAUAUAUAUCUAACGUGCAUACACUCUGCGUAUGUAUGUAUGAUACCAUGUAUGUACAGAGUCUACUCUAGAUUAUCAGCCACAUGGAAAGCCCCUCUUAGUUUGUUUAUUGAUGUGGAAUUGGUGUGCAUGUGGCCCGUCACUCUGGCGCCUCCUUCCGGUCUAGAGCCGCAGCCUUUCUUCCUGGCCGUUCAUCUCAGUCUUUGAGAAAGCCCUUUAAACGUGUCACUUUCCACGUCCUUUUAACCCCGGGAUCCUGUGAGCCAAAAGACAGCUUCCGAGAAUGCUGGCUGCUUCCACCAGGGCAGAGGCCUCUGGGUCUGCACAGUCAGGGGCGCAGUCCUGGCCCCGAGAGCAGCUGUGUGAGCAGCGGAGCCCAUGGGCUUGCAGAGGGAGGCCUCUCAACGCUUGUAGAAACAGCUUUGCGACUUGCUUCAGUUACUUUGCUCCAGUGUGAAGUCUCAGGUAACUUGAUGUAGAGUAUGACAGUGCAUCUCAAUGUUAAUUUUGCAUUAUCUGUACUACUGUUGUUCCCUGCUGCUAGCCCAGAUAAUCAAGACCUGACUGUUUCUCAUCACUGGAUUGUGGAAACCUUGACCUUUCAACUGGAUUUAUGUUUAUUUCUGCUGCUGUGAACCCCAAAAAUAAUGCAGUAG